GCCACCACUCGCACCUGCUGCUGGUGCCUGGCGCCGGUCCUGAUCACUUGGUGCCAUCAGCGGGUGUGAGUGGUGGCUG
rfam:Myotis lucifugus cont2.5053, whole genome shotgun sequence.